GACGAACGCUGGCGGCGUGCUUAACACAUGCAAGUCGAACGGAAAGGCCCUGCUUUUGUGGGGUGCUCGAGUGGCGAACGGGUGAGUAACACGUGAGUAACCUGCCCUUGACUUUGGGAUAACUUCAGGAAACUGGGGCUAAUACCGGAUAGGAGCUCCUGCUGCAUGGUGGGGGUUGGAAAGUUUCGGCGGUUGGGGAUGGACUCGCGGCUUAUCAGCUUGUUGGUGGGGUAGUGGCUUACCAAGGCUUUGACGGGUAGCCGGCCUGAGAGGGUGACCGGCCACAUUGGGACUGAGAUACGGCCCGGACUCCUACGGGAGGCAGCAGUGGGGAAUAUUGCACAAUGGGCGGAAGCCUGAUGCAGCAACGCCGCGUGCGGGAUAACGGCCUUCGGGUUGUAAACCGCUUUCGCCUGUGACGAAGCGUGAGUGACGGUAAUGGGUAAAGAGGCACCGGCUAAGUACGUG
rnacentral:rRNA from 1 species